rnacentral:sRNA from 1 species
CAACAUCUUUGUUGCAAGAGUUAAUAAGUAGAAGAAGACAAAUGAGUUGGACCCAACGAACACGAAUUUCUUCAUGCCAUAAAUAUAUUCCACUACAUUGUUUGUUUUUCGUAUGAUUCCACUACAUUGUUACUUGUUAGUAUGCAUAUAUAUAUACAAUAGUAUCAUCUUGUUGAUUGACAUCUGUUUGUUG